rnacentral:rRNA from 1 species
CCCUUAGAUGUCCUGGGCCGCACGCGCGUUACACUGAUGCAUUCAACGAGCUUAUAACCUUGGCCGAGAGGCCUGGGCAAUCUUGUUAACGUGCAUCGUGAUAGGGAUAGAUUAUUGAAAUUAUUAAUCUUGAACGAGGAAUUCCUAGUAAACGCAGAUCAUCAAUCUGCAUUGAUUACGUCCCUGCCCUUUGUACACACCGCCCGUCGCACCUACCGAUUGGAUGGUCCGGUGAAGCCUCGGGAUUGUGGUUCUUGCCGCUUUAUUGUAGCGUGACCGCGAGAACUUGUCUAAACCUUAUCAUUUAGAGGAAGGAGAAGUCGUAACA